UGGGGAAUAUUGCACAAGGGAGGGAACUCUGAUGCAGCGACGCCGCGUGAACGAAGAAGGCUUUCGAGUCGUAAAGUUCUUUUAUAUGGGAAGAUAAUGACGGUACCAUAAGAAAAAGCCCCGGCUAACUACGUGCCAGCAGCCGCGGUAAUACGUAGGGGGCUAGCGUUGUCCGGAAUCACUGGGCGUAAAGGGUUCGCAGGCGGAAAUGCAAGUCAGGUGUAAAAGGCAGUAGCUUAACUACUGUAAGCAUUUGAAACUGCAUAUCUUGAGAAGAGUAGAGGUAAGUGGAAUUUUUAGUGUAGCGGUGAAAUGCGUAGAUAUUAAAAAGAAUACCGGUGGCGAAGGCGACUUACUGGGCUCAUUCUGACGCUGAGGAACGAAAGCGUGGGUAGCAAACAGG
rnacentral:rRNA from 1 species